AGCAGUCGCCGCGGUAACACGUAGGGUGCGAGCGUUAAUCGGAAUUACUGGGCGUAAAGCGUGCGCAGGCGGUUAUAUAAGACAGAUGUGAAAUCCCCGGGCUCAACCUGGGACCUGCAUUUGUGACUGUAUAGCUAGAGUACGGUAGAGGGGGAUGGAAUUCCGCGUGUAGCAGUGAAAUGCGUAGAUAUGCGGAGGAACACCGAUGGCGAAGGCAAUCCCCUGGGCCUGUACUGACGCUCAUGCACGAAAGCGUGGGGAGCAAACAGGAUUAGAUACCCCCGUAGUCCCUGUCUCUUAUAC
rnacentral:rRNA from 1 species